rnacentral:rRNA from 1 species
GUGAACCAGUACCGUGAGGGAAAGGCGAAAAGAACCCCGGCGAGGGGAGUGAAAAAGAACCUGAAACCGUGUACGUACAAGCAGUGGGAGCACAGGUUUACCUGUGUGACUGCGUACCUUUUGUAUAAUGGGUCAGCGACUUAUAUUCUGUAGCAAGGUUAACCGUAUAGGGGAGCCGUAGGGAAACCGAGUCUUAACCGGGCGUUAAGUUGCAGGGUAUAGACCCGAAACCCGGUGAUCUAGCCAUGGGCAGGUUGAAGGUUGGGUAACACUAACUGGAGGACCGAACCGACUAAUGUUGAAAAAUUAGCGGAUGACCUGUGGCUGGGGGUGAAAGGCCAAUCAAACCGGGAGAUAGCUGGUUCUCCCCGAAAGCUAUUUAGGUAGCGCCUCGUGAAUUCAUCUCCGGGGGUAGAGCACUGUUUCGGCUAGGGGGCCAUCCCGGCUUACCAACCCGAUGCAAACUGCGAAUACCGGAGAAUGUUAUCACGGGAGACACACGGCGGGUGCUAACGUCCGUCGUGAAGAGGGAAACAACCCAGACCGCCAGCUAAGGUCCCAAAGUCAUGGUUAAGUGGGAAACGAUGUGGGAAGGCCCAGACAGCCAGGAUGUUGGCUUAGAAGCAGCCAUCAUUUAAAGAAAGCGUAAUAGCUCACUGGUCGAGUCGGCCUGCGCGGAAGAUGUAACGGGGCUAAACCAUGCACCGAAGCUGCGGCAGCGAACGUAUCACCCAAGACAACUUUACGGAGUUGACGAUUGACGGAGCGAAGCGACGUCAAAGCGUUCAUUAAAGUCGAGUUGGCUUAGGGAUACGUUCGUUGGGUAGGGGAGCGUUCUGUAAGCCUGUGA